GAGCACGUAGGUGGGUUUGUAAGUCAGAUGUGAAAGCCUUCUGUUCAACGGAAGAAUUGCAUCUGAAACUGCGAGUCUUGAGUGUAGGAGGGGAGAAUGGAACUUCUGGUGGAGCGGUGAAAUGCGUAGAUAUCAGAAGGAACUCCGGCGGCGAGAGCGAUUCUCUGGCCUAUUACUGACACUCAGUGUGCGAAAGCUAGGGGAGCAAACGGGAUUAGAUACCCCGGUAGUCCUAGCCCUAAACGAUGGGCACUAAGUAGAGGGGUUUU
rnacentral:rRNA from 1 species